AAAUUGAAGAGUUUGAUCAUGGCUCAGAUUGAACGCUGGCGGCAGGCCUAACACAUGCAAGUCGAACGGUAACAGGAARCAGCUUGCUGYUUYGCUGACGAGUGGCGGACGGGUGAGUAAUGUCUGGGAAACUGCCUGAUGGAGGGGGAUAACUACUGGAAACGGUAGCUAAUACCGCAUAACGUCGCAAGACCAAAGAGGGGGACCUUCGGGCCUCUUGCCAUCGGAUGUGCCCAGAUGGGAUUAGCUAGUAGGUGGGGUAAMGGCUCACCUAGGCGACGAUCCCUAGCUGGUCUGAGAGGAUGA
rnacentral:rRNA from 1 species